rnacentral:rRNA from 1 species
AUUGAACGCUGGCGGCAGGCCUAACACAUGCAAGUCGAACGAGUGGCGGACGGGUGAGUAAUGUCUGGGAAACUGCCUGAUGGAGGGGGAUAACUACUGGAAACGGUAGCUAAUACCGCAUACCAUCGGAUGUGCCCAGAUGGGAUUAGCUAGUAGGUGGGUUAACGGCUCACCUCGGCGACGAUCCCUAGCUGGUCUGAGAGGAUGACAAGCCCGACUGGAACUGAGACACGGGCCGGACGCCUACGGGAGGCAGAAGUGGGGAAUAUUGCACAAUGGGCGCAAGCCUCAUGCAGCCAUGCCGCGUGUAUGAAGAAGGCCUUCGGGUUGUAAAGUACUUUCAGCGGGGAGGCGUUACCCGAAGAAGAAGCACAGGCUAACUCCGUGCCAGCAGGCGCGGUAAUUC